GCUGGCGUAGCUCAGUGGUAGAGCAGCUGAUUUGUAAUCAGCAGGUCAUCGGUUCAAAUCCGAUCGCCAGCUCCA
rnacentral:tRNA from 1 species